rnacentral:lncRNA from 1 species
UAUCAAUGGUGAUUGAAAAAACAAGCCAGAGUUUAUUGCGAGGACUCACCAGAAAAAGUGGCUCUGGAGAGAGGGACGCCAAGCCAGUUCUUCCUGCUUCCAAUGCUGCGUUUUUGAGAGUCAUGAGUUGCUGGAAGUGGGUGCAGUUCAGCCCCGCUGUGACGAUGCCCGCCUUGUCCUGAGGGCUGGCUGGAGUAUUUUCCUUGCUCUCAGUUAGCGGUGUCCACUUGUGUCAGUGGCAGAGGCACCAGUGUUACAUCGUUACCCUGCCAUCUACCCUGGGUUCUACUUCAACAGAGGGUGAAUUGCUGGCCUGGGGUCUUGUCCCAAACAAAGAAUUCAGCAGGACAUCCAAGAGGUACAGUAGGAUCAAUGCUUUAUUUGAAAGAGAAAGGACAGGAUUCAGGUUGGGAGCAGGCGAAGGAGGGGAGCUCAAACUGGGGUGAGGUCAAGGAGUUCUGCCUGGAAUGUGCCCUCACCUGCCUGUGUCCCCCCCAAGCCUAAUGUAUGGAAAAGACCCAGGGACAGAAGAAACUGAGUGAACUGAGAAAGAGGCCAGAACACUGGGAGCCUGGGGGUGUAAAUUGGGGGAAGGGCGGGGGGAGAGGGGGAGAACAGGGGGGACAAAGAGGGGAGCAGAGGCUGGAAGGGGUGGUGCCUUGUGUAUGAUGAUGGGGGGGGGGGCGUGGAUUUUAUCCCAAAUAACAGGAAGCGAUUCAAAGGAGAUAAAUAGGCAGUACUGGGAUCCUGGGUGGGCCAAAAACAUCAGGGUUAGAAUGGAAUUGAUCAUGUCUUUUGAGGUACACAUUUGGUCCCAAAAUAACUUUCCAAUUUCUCGAUACUCUCUAACAGCAGAUGGUCUUCUCUACACCCCCCUCCCUAACUCUCUGCCACAUUCUUGGCUCUUGGGUGCUCCCCAAACAAAGGUUCUCUCUGCAGCUUCGUCCUUAUCUAAGUCAUCCUGGUAACUCAGUUAAGUCCUUCUCUCCUUCAUAACCAGUGCACCUCAGCUCUCCUGUGGAUCCUUCUUUAACAGAUCACGGAAGUACUCAGCACUCCAGGCAGAUGAGAAGGGAAAAAGAGCUCUUUUUCCAAGAUUCCCAGCUCUAGGCUUGCUUUCUAACCAACUCGAGUUUUCUCUCACACCAAGCAAUCAUUGGAGGGCCAUGAAAUCCUACCCCUGCCUGUGCAGUCCUGGCUCAUCCUUCAGGAUGGACCUCAGCGUUACCCCACGCAGGAGCCCUCUGCCCCCAGGAAGAGGCUUCGAUCCAUCCCUUCUGGGCAGUGUCCUACACUGUCAAAUGGAAAAGAAACAGAGCCAACCAACCAAGUUUUGCCUGCUUAAAUACACAUUUCUGAACCUACCCUAACAUUUCAGAAGGCAGGGAACAUGCUGGGUCAUUCUCCCCGUAUUCCUCUCCCCUGAACACCACACCCUGUAAAUAGUCAGUAAAUACAGGUUGAAUGGCUUUGCUGGGUCUGAGGCCUCAUGCUCACUGGUGUAUCCCUGACUUCCUGGAAGAUAAAAGGCUUCCACCUUGUUCUCGAGUUUCCUCCUGCCCUGCGGUCAGAGUGACUGUCCCCAAACUUACUUCUGUGGCUUUUCCUUGCUGAGAGCAAGCCUGGUUCCUGGUGGCCUAUGUGAUAAAACCUGUGCUCCUCAGCCCAGCCUCCCCACCAUCUCCAGCUGCUUAAGUUUUGUACUGCUGUGUAACAGAUGCCAUGAACUUAGUGACUUAAACGACUCCCAUCUACACUCUCAGUUUCUGUGAGUCAGAAGUUGGGGCACAGAAGAGCUUGGUUCUCUGCUAGCUGUGGGCAGAACACCAGUCAGGCCUGUGAUCUCCUCAGGGGAUCAAUGGGAAGGAGCCCCUGGAUUCACAGGGAUUGCUAGCAGAAUCUCUUUCCAAGCAUUGCAAGUCUGAGACUAGCCUGGGCUCCUAGAAACUCCCUGCAAUUUCCCUGACAGUGGAGGUGAGAGAAAGGGAGACCCAAGGACUGGUCCUUCCAAAGCCUUGUGUACCAGAGUGGCUUGUGAAGUGACUUUUGCCAUGUUCCUUUGGUUAGGGCUGGCCAUAGGUGCUCACAUUCCCAAAGGGAGAGGACUAUGCAAUGGCACAGACAUGGGGAGGUGGGACCUAAGGUCGGCUGGCCACAGGUUUAUCUUCUGCUGGCUUCCAGUCUUUUGAGCUCUGUGACCAUGUCUCCCAACAUCUCUGAGGGCACAGCGGCCUCCGAUUCCGAUUACAGCACAGUCUUCCAUUACUUUAUCUCUGGCAGUAAUGCUCCCUCAGUGUUCCCCUGCCUUACUUGCACAUAGACACCACUUUGUCUGACAGGCCUGAGCAUACUAGUGUUUGUGGAUGUUGAGGAUCUAGAAGAGGAUUUCCCUUACAUUAUUCCUCCAGCAAGUCUUUGGGUCUCUUUGGGACACAAGUACCCCGCCUUUUAAAGGUUAUUUCUGAAUGACUAGGAUACUCUAGGAAAGGGUGAAGGUGAAAACUAGAAGGACUUAUGUGUGUGAUGGGGGAAAGAACUAGAAAGAAGAAAGUGGAGCAACACAAAGAACCUGAACUAAGAUUUUUCUUUGGCUGAAAUUGGCUGGGAGAAGAAAACACUUCCUCCUCUAAGAGAGGGAGUAAUCAGUGAUAGGGUUGGGUAAGAGAAUUUGGGGGUUCAUCCAGAAUAAGUGGUAAGCAUGAGAGGCAAGUGUUCCUGGAUAUCAGCCCAUGAAGGAUGAAUAUACGGGUUCCAGUUUGAGGAAAGAUUAUGCAUGUGGCACACCCAGCCGAUUUCAUCUGCUUGUCACCAAUGUGAUUAAUACUUGCAGCAACACACACACAGAGUUAUGGUUUGUGUCUAGAUGUUCCCCUAAAGGCUCGUGCAGUCAUACAUGGGGCUUUUCACAGGUGGCUGGAUCUAGAAUGUGAUGCUAGGAUUGAUUCAUGGUGUGAGUGCUACUCACCCUAAGUAGCCUGGAUAAGACAUAAUGGAAGGAAAGAGCUGUGGUCGCCACCUGCUUGCUUUGCUACCUUCUGCCCACCAUGAACUGUUUCUCUUCUGCGAUGCCUGUCUGCUGUGCCACCCUGCCUUGGAGCCAUCUGAUAGACUGAAACCUCUACAAACUUAGCUAAAUGAACCUUUCUCCCCUUAACUUGUGAGUGUUGGGCAUUUUUUGUCCCAGCAAUGAGAAAAAUAACUAAGGCACCCACCCACCUUCUUAUUAAUGAAGCCCGUAUGCCUUAUACAAGAAACAGAUUACAAAACUCUGGAAAUCUUUUACUAAGACAUUUCCUGUCCCUGAGCCUGUCACUGCAUCCCUUCCACCCACCACUUUUUUCUUCACUUUGCCUUUCUCUUUCUCCUCCUCUUGCUUUCUUGUUCCUUCCUGCAUCCUUUUUGUUCCCAUUCGCAUCCUGAAGGCUUUGCCCUGCCUUGGUUUUGCAAUGAGCAACUGCUGCGGAUUUUGAAGAAACAAGUGGACUCUGUACCACGGGAAGCUCUGUUUUGGGAAAAACAUCUUUGUUGAGACAAUGACUCAGAAGUCUCCAGCCAGGUAUGAUACAGCACCUCACAGUAGGGCUUACUUUGGGUCCCCAACCAAUCGUACAUGUUUACACAUGUAGAAUUGUAGGAUGCCAGAAACUCACAGGCCAUCUAAUUCAAAAUGUUCAUUUCACAAGAGAAACUGAGGUCAUAAAGGAAAAUAGAUUUGACUAAACUCAUAUGAAACUGGAGAUUUCCUACCUUAGAGUCUGUCGAUAUGAGCAAAUUUGGGAUCUAUAUGUCAAUAGUCCAGAAGAAAUUCACUCAAACACACAAAGGUGGGCAAGGGUGAGUAGAUAUGUAUGCAGCAGUGACAGCCAAAUAUGGUACACAGAGUUCACACACUGCUCUCUAGCUCUUUUUUGCUGGCUUCAGCUCCUACGAUCUAAGAGUGGGGUAGCUAUGUCCUCCACUAAUCCCCCCACCAGUAACCAUGUAGCUAUAUUGGAGUCAGACUGGAGGGAAUCGGGGCUGCUCACAAUGGGCUUUUCUCAGUUCUAAUCAGGCACCUGGGGUAGGAAUGUUCAGCAGAAUAUAGUAGAGUCAUCCAGCAUGACCCAUUUUCCUAGGGAGCACAUAGCUGGGAAAGAGACGUCCCAAUAAUCUAGUCCUGCCACUGGCUUUUCUCUGUACGGCCUUGGGAAGGCCCCUUCCCAUCUUUGGACCUCUGCUUCAGCAUCUUGUGUGAAUGAUAGCCAGGGAGUUAUGAGGAGUGAAUGCAGAAAUGGAUGGACAGGCACAUGAUAUGGCCAAGUGUGAUAACAUAAGGGAUUGGAGAUCUUAUUGCUAUUUAUUCAAUUUCAUUGCUGAGGGAAUGGAGUCUGUUUUCUGCAAAGGUUCGAGGCCUCCUGGCCCACUGUCCCUGAGAGGCACCCCCUGCUGCUUCCCCUACACAGGGGCUUUUCUGACAGCCCUUCAAAGUCCCCAUGCUGCUGCCCACCCUGUCACUUCUCCAUCCUGUUGGUUUUAUUUUUAUCUUUAGUGCUCAUCACACUCCAUUAGCUGUUUGUUUAUGUCUUUCUCCCCACCCGAAUAUAAGACCUAGGAGGCCAGGGACUGGCAGUUUUAUUAACCCGAGUCUUGGGGCCCAGAAUACAUUGAACAGGCAUAAUGUGCCAGGCUCUAUCAAUGUUUGCUGAGGAGUGAAAAAGACAGGCGACACCCUGAGGGUCGUCUUGGAUGCAAACAGAUGCAGCAUCCAGACUACUGGGAGGUGUGGCAGUCAUGGGAGGACAGGGAGAGACUCCAGGGUGGUGGUGAUGCUUGGGUGAUCCACAAAUUCAGAUUUGUGGUCUGAGUGGUUGGCUUGAAUGCCACAGAUCUUUGAGCCUUCCAACACUCUGGGGACUUUUUAUCUGUAAACCUCCAGGGAUAUCAAAGGGCAGGAGCGUUAGGAAUCAGCAGUUCACAGAGCAGGGCUGCAGCUGCCGGCACCUACCUGAGUGUGGGCUGUGGUGACACUGAGGGGGUCUGCCUCUGCUACUGUGACCAGCAGGUGGUGGUGGGGAGGUGAGCAGUCAAGAGGGGAGACAGGUGGGCCCACGGCACCUAGGGGAGACCCCGAGACUGGUCCUGCCGUCAUCCUCAAUGUGAACCCAUCCUUGCUAUAUGGGGAUGUCUUCUGGGAUCUGCCCAUUGGGCUGUGUGGGUGGCCUGGGUUCAAGAACUACACAUGGUGCUGCACAUGCCCACUGGGACACCCCUCCCACCAGGAACCUGUUUGGAAAUGGAGGUGAGGGCAGAGCUCUCAAGGGACCCUGCCAUAAGGGACCUCAGCAUACCGGGUGGGAACACUCACGUCACAGAGCCAGGUUCAAGGGUCUUGAUUGUGCUGUGCACAAGGGCAUUAUCGGACUACGCGUGUCACUCACGAUGGGCUGGUUGGUCGGGUUGUGAUGGCCUGUGUGUCACAUAACAUUGCACGUGCAAUAUUAUAUCUGUCUGGGAGCUCACAUGGCUGUGUGUGAGGAGAGGGCCCAGGCAGAGGGGAUCCAGGAGGGCAGGACCAGGUGUCCAGUGGGUGAUGCUGUGGUGCUCACAGAGCUCGCCUCCCUCCCAAGUUUCAGCACAUGUGGCCGCUGCAGUGCUCUCUGCAAAGAGCCAAGUGGCACUUGGCUGCUCUCCCUGGUGGCCUUCUGUGGAUACCUCCGCCACAGCCCCUGGGCAGCUGACAUGUUUCCAUCUCUGUUCCUCGGUUCUGCAUCCACAGUCCACAUGCCCCACCCCUGGCUGUCAACUCCAUUCUCUCAUCUGAGGCAGGGUGACCAGGUCGAUGCUGGGUUGGGUGGGAAGCUAUGGGGUGGACCGGGCUGGUCCAGGGUGUCUGAGUGCCCCAGAUGGGGACCCUAUCUUGGGGAAGAGCCACGUUCUAUCCCCAGGCUCCUAGUCCCCAGCAGGCCUGGAGUGAAUUUUUGACCUCUGCUGUCUCUGCCUAGGGCAGGGCCCGUCUUGGAAUCUUUUAAAGUUUUCUGUGAUGUCCUGGGUGCUGCUUUUCUCCACGAUGCUUCGUUCCUCCAGCCAAGUCACACUGUGCUGUGGCCACAGGAGAUGAAUUAUCUGACACAGGCAUUUGCAAAUGACAGAUCAAACUUGAACCUUCAGGCAGGGGUCGAUGGCAGAAGCUCCCAGGCCUCUGACCCCAAAACACGACCCCUGGCCCCAGCAUCGGCUCCACCCCUUCUGGGCUUGCAGAGCGGCUCUAAUCUCCUCGAUUGUCAGUCUUCCCAGCAGAAUUGAGUGAGGGGUAACUGGGAGCCCCCCUGGCUUCUGUUUCCUAGGACGACCAAUUGUGAGUUCGGGUUGAAGGGCAUUGGAGGAGCCCGUGACCCCACAAGUCAUGGUCAAUCGCUUUGCCCGCGUGUGAGGGACUGCACACCACUGUUUGCUUUUGAAACACACUUGCACUGGUCCACGCCCGUGUGUGCAGUAGUCUCAGAGCUGGCCCAGGGAGUUUUUCUUGGCACAAUCGCAGAUCUGUCUCUGUUUUAGACCCAGGCCACAAAACAAUGGUUCUCAGAGACAGCAAAGAGGAAACUGGGCAACUGUGACCAGAUCCUCUGCCACCCGCUGCUGCCUUCCCAUUCCCUCCACUCCAGGGUGCAGACAGCCUCUCUGCCCCUUCUCCAUCCGGGCAGACCCCGUGACACCAGAUAAGGAGAAUUUUAGAAAUGUCAGACAACUGUGAUCUGUUUUAUUCUGAAUUUAUUUUUUAGCUCAGAGGAACUGUGAACUUGUAUAAGGACUUUUCAAACCCUAUAGGUUCUCAGGCUGUGGCCGCCGAGGGGCUGGGCUUAAAGGGCACCAUAACUCCUGUCUCUACUCCCAAGCUGGUGGGUCAGUUAUUUCGUUGAUUUGUGGUCCAUUUCCAAAACUGCUCCAAGAUAGAAAUCAAAUCCUGACAUCACAUUCCAAAACCUUCAGCUGCUCGCAGCUACCUGCAGGACUGAAUUCCAAAGAGUUAGACAAGCUCCUAAGUACUGUACAGUUGUUUAGGUGGUACACUGCAUAAUGCUACAGCUUAUCAUUCUCUGUAAAACCACACCGAGGCCGUGUAAUAAGCAGUGUUCAAGGUGCUUCACCGUGUGAGUCCAAACCUCUCUUCACAGUGGGUCCCUAGCUGAAGCUACACCAGUAGCUUUAGUCUGUCUAGUCUCACUGCAUCUUACAAUUUCUACACCUGGGUGUUUGCACAACCUCUUCCCUUAGAACAAGGAGCACUGGCUCCUCGCCUGCCUGGUUGCGUCUUCCCAGUCCUGCAAAUGCUGCCCUCAGCUCUGCCUUCUCCUUGGUGCUUCCGGGUCCACACACCUAGAAGCCGUCGGAGCCCUGGUUGCAGAGGACCCAGAAACCCACUGCGCACCACAGGAGUUUUAGUUCUCUUGCCUCGCACUUGGUGGAGUUGCCAUCCAGAGCGCGCACUCAGGCGACGGAGCCCGAGUGUAAUGUCCCCCGUGUUUCCUCCACCAGCGACACAGAGCUGCACCCCUGAGCGGCUUCCCCUUGCCUGCCGGCUGGUUCCAGCGGCUUCGUAAAAGCUUCUCUCCCCACUCCCCACCCCCUCUUGCUAUUUUAUUCCAGUUCCUGGAAUUUCAUAAUAACAGAGAUGCUUCCAGAAAGCUGACACAGGCCAUUUCCCCUAAACAAACGCAUGUUUUCAUAUGACAUGCUGCGGAGCUUGCUAUAAAAAUUCUGUGUUCCAGUUCCAUCGGACACAUUCCAAAAAAUAAUAAUAAUGACAAGAAAACAAUCACUUCUUUAGCGCUUUUACAUACGGGCGAAAUCCAUACAUCAUUUUAUUUUAUCCUCAGCUUGUCAAGGAGGGAGAUAUUUAUAUUUCCCCGGUUGAACAAUGAGUAAAGAAAGGCUCAAAUAAAUAAAGCAACCUGUGUCCGAUCGCCAGUGAGUGGAGUUGAACCAAGGCCUCCGGCAUUUCCAGGGUGUUAUCCAGGGCUGACAUAGGGGUUUGUGCGGCUGGGAAGGCACUGGGGUUUUGGGGAAGACCCUGAGGUGGCCAGAGACCUCAGUACCCAGAGUGCAUUGCCAGAAACAACUUAAUAAUAAGCCUUAUUAUCUUGAAAACUAAGUAAUUGGACGGGAUCCCUUCCUAUUCUAAGAAUUUGUGCAAUUAUACAAAAGUGAAGACAUGGCCCUUGCUUUCAGGAAUUUAAGAUCUUUUUGAGAGUGGGGGGCAUUAACUUUAGGGGAGAAGAGCUGGUGAGGAGAGAGAGGGCAGCCAGGUCAGUGGGCUGGAGGCCAAGGGCACUGGGGGCAGCUCUCUACAAGCAGGGCGGGCUGCGUUGCCCAGCAGGAGAAGCCCUUCCUGGAAGGAUGAUGAACCUGACCUUCCCAAAAGGACCUCAGAGGCCUGCCGGUCAGUGGCAUAAGUCACAACCCUCAGGAUGUUUAUCAGCUGGGCCAUUGUGACCCUUCAGCAAGAUGUUUCUUGAGCAAACUUUUUUUUGGAAUUUUGGUGGGCUCUGACCUGUAGUUUUCACUUCCAAAAUAACUUGACUUUUUUAAAGUGGUAAUUUCACUUCAUGAUAAUACUAAACUGAAGCCACAUGAACUCUAAUUGGAAGCAGGUCUUGGGCUGCAGGGUUGCCAAGAAGCGGUAAGAAACAUGCUUAUUCUACUACUUUGCUUGAGGCACUCAGCAUUUUUGAAUGCCUGGGCAGAAAUAUAGUUUUUUUAAAUAAAGCCAAUCCCUGGGAGAAGAGGGGGCGACGGGGGAGGGAGAGAGGCAGGGGUGGAGGUGGUUAGAAAAGGGAGAAGGGGUUUUUUUCAGUCCAAAGAGAGGAAAAUCACACUCUGUUUUCGUGUAUCAGUUUUGAUGCUGGUCCCUGCCGCCUUUGGAAUUAGUGAAGUCGGGGUGCUCUUCCUGGAUGUCUGGGGCUCAUGGGGCUGAUGUUCUUUCAACUUUUCAGUGGGUACUCGAACUCCUUCUGCCAGCACAGGCUGGGGCUGACCUCACCAGGGCAGCAGGGUGUUAUUCCUUCUCCCAUUUUCCUUCCCACAUCACUCCCUUGUCCUAUUAAUUGUAUCCUGAUGAUCACUCCCUUGUCCUAUUAAUUGCAUCCUGAUGAGCAAGGCAUUCAGUCCUCCGGUGGCUGCUGGAGAUUGCUUUAAUAAGUCUCUCUUGGAGGAGGCGAGACAGCAGUUUUGCCUUUUUUUUCUUUUUAGAAAAACAGCACACUGUCCCAGGGAAGGCCUCCGAAAACAUUGACAUAAAGGAAAUCUUUAAAAAUUGCUUUCCAGAAAAGAAACAAAACAAAUCCCUUCUCUGAAAACAAAAGUUAUAUAACAGAGUAAUUGCACAGCACAGCUUUCUGCUGGAAGCCCAGGCUGUUUGGGGGAUGCAGUUGGGAGCUGAGUAAUCACACGAUGGGGAGAGGUCUCCCUGCCCGCUGGCCUCAGUUUCCUUAAGACACCGUUUCAAAGAAAUGUGUGGGACUGGACUCCCCCGAUUCUGUGGUUCUGACCCACCCUGUCAAGUCACCUCCCAGUGCUGCUAACCCUGUGUGCUCCAGCCCCGUGGUGUCUGUGCCCUGUGGGGCUGGAUGUCCCUUCUCACUUGGUUUUGUUGUGUCUAGUGCUGGGCUUUGGGGCGGUUGUGGAAGGACACUGGGCAGGAUUCUGAUUUUCCCUUUCCCACUUUGCACACACAGAAAGGGGUAGGUAAGGGGUACAUGGAGAAAAAUAGAGUUCUAGAUUUCAGCUUUGACUGUUGGCUAUAAAAAGCCCACAGCACUGGGGCUGGGAAAGGAGAGCCUGGAGCUUGGGUUGCAAGAGAAAGUCCCGAGGGGAAAUGUUUGGAAAUUCAACCACAGUGCCUCAAGAUAGAUGUGACUCAGUGACUUCCCACAGCAGGGAGCUCAAAGAGCACAUCGUGUCCCUCAGUGCCUGCCCAUAGAUUUCCCUAUGGUAGGCCUUGAGGUUUGCAAUGGAGACCCCACUGUGGUCUCCAGGGACUACACAGGUGUCAUAGGUCCCAUGGGGACAUGUGCUUUCUCUUGAUGUCUCCAAGGACCACGGGGCCCAAAAGCCCUGAGAAGCAAAACAUCUGGUCCACUUCAGCAAUUUUUUCACACGUUCAGCCAGUCAUCUGGAUGCUUUGUCUAUGCAGUGCCAAACAGCUGGGCCACUAGAUGUUUUGGCCCUGUGUAGACAGGAAUUCAACUUUUUAAUAGCUGUUUCUUUUCUCUUCUGAGGUUCUUUUUACCAGCCUUCCAGUACAAUGGAGAAGAGAGAUAUAAAGAUUUUUUUUUCCUUUUUGGUUGAUGGACUUAAUAGAAUUGUGUUUGUGUAAUCAUUGAAAAGUGGACAAUGUUGCUGAUUACUUUUCUUAGGGUAUUCUUAUAACCUUAAAUUAUCAGUUUGAUUACUUUUCUGGUGGCAUCCACAUAAUUCUAAAUCAGUGGCUGGACUACUUUGCUUUUUCACAGGUAGACCAAAUCAACCAAAAUAAUAUGGUGUGUUCAUCGUAAAUGUUCCAAAUUCAUUUCGAAAGAAUUAGAAUUUUAAUGCACUUUGCAAAAGCUUAACACAAUUGGAUGGCUCUUGAAAAUAAUUUAUGAAGAUUACAUUAUCUCUGGACUUUUAUUCUUUUAAGAUUGUAAGAUCCUGUGAUGUGAUUUUUGAAAACUUUAAUAAUCAGUGGUAACAAUAGCAGCAAGAUAGUAAAUUCUAAGGGUUUUUAUGUCAUUUAUCUUUCUCCAUUCUAGACUGUCAUUAAAUAAUGAUGUAUUGAUUUACACCUUGAAAACUAGUGUUUCCAAACAUUAUCAAACUAGAAAGACCCUUCCUUCUCCCCCAGAUUGUGGGAAAUAUUAACUUGCUCCUUUUCUUUGUGCUAAGUUGCUGCCAUCGUGGGGGAGGAGGGAACAUAGCAUCAGAGGACAACGAGGAGUGCCAACUCUCAGCCAGUCCCCUCCUCGGUGACAGGCCCAGGGGAAGGAAGGGAGGGUUGAAGAGAGAGGGUGGGUCUAGCCAGGAGAUCUAUGAGCCAGGAUGCUUCCUCUAAGUCGGAAACAGCAAUCACAGAACCAAAAGCAGGAGUUAAGCUUGUGAGAGCAGAGCCAGGGUGUGAUCAGCAGGUUGAGAGUGGUCGAGAGCCGGUCUUUGGCAAAGAUCUGCAAUCAUUUGAAGCCAAGGCAGCAGAGGGGGUUCAGACUGCUUUCAUGUGCUUGACAUGUUUCGUGGGAGGCCAGAAUAUUUAAAGUGCCAGAAAAUGUACAACCUUUAACUCAGGGCAAAGUGUCUUCCUUCCCUGUCCAUGAUUCUGUGUAACAAAUGAUGCUCACAAUGCCCGUGAGGAUUUCCCAUUGGUAAAAGCAGAUAUUCAGUCAUCUCUGAAGGUCAUUUGUCCUCGGUUCCAUGACCAAAUGAUGCCCUUACUGUAGAAUUGAAGGUUUCAAAGGAUAAGAUCUAGGACUUUGGGCUCUCUUAUUCAUCCCAUUUUUGGACAUUUCUCAAAGAGGGCAUAAACUGGCUCAAAUUUGGGAACUGGUUGAGGGGUCAUAAUUCCUUGUUACCAUGACUUGAAGUAGGUUUGUGUUCAUUUGCCCUUUAAUUUUUUCAAUUAUAUAAAUCUAGUAAAUUGGGAACACAUGGUUGAUCAGCCAAUGCCAUACGUCUAGACGUGUCAGACCAUUCUGGACAUCGUUCUGCUUCUGUUGUCUAUUGCUGCCUUCGGUGAUUAAGUGCUGCCACUUGGCCCUCUCUCACUCCAGGAUCCAGUCAAGCCAUUGCCCUUAAAUGUCCCAAUUGAGUAACCUCGGUCCCCACUGUAAGGCCUGGCACGCAGAGAAGAGCAAUGACAGGGCUCUUCAGGGGUGCCAGUGCUCUCCUCACAAAUCUGUUUCUCAAGAUCAUUCUCAUUUCCCUGAGCCUCUGGAAUCCCCUCAUCAACAGAAAACCAUGGCAUAUCGGGCAUCUCUAACUCAUUCACAGUGGGCCACCUUUUGAUCUAUAUUUCCGCCAGCAAGCCAAAUACACUACUAACACCUUUCUUUACUCCACGAGCCACAAGAUUAAAUUCAGGAUCCCUGCUUGACCGGGCCAUAUCAACAAACUCAGCCUGGUCCAAGUGUAUAGUUUUGCCACCAUUAUCCUACACCUGUAACUUGUUCAGGAGGCCUCUGGUUAUAAGAGUUAGAAAACUCAAGAAGUUCUUUGGGAGAACAGCAGACAUCCUCCCUCAUGGGUCACACUAUGGACCUCACCCUUAGGACCCUUCUGACUUGAGCCUGAUUACAGGACUAGAGGCAAACGUGGGUGGCGAAGGUGGGUUCUGAGGAGCGUUGGCAUUAUCAUGCUUGGUCAACACAGGCUUAGUGUCCUCAGGUAUACUAGGAGAGGCCAGCACCACAAGGGGUAGGGGUGCCUCCACCACUGUCAGUGGGUAAAUCUUUUUCUCUUGCAAAAUAAUCUCAUUAGCCUCUAGAAACACAACAUCCUCAGCUUCAUCAGGAUUCCUCUCAAACAUCUCUGGGUCUCAUUUUAUGGGAUCCCAUUAUUUUCCAAUCAGUGCCCUCACCUUUGCUUCAGAUGCCCUUUGAAGCUGAGCAUUAAACUUACACUGCAGUUCAGCCAAUUGAAUUAUGAGGGCCUGUGUUUGAGUUUCUGGAAUCUCAGCCCUGCAGCUAAAAAAGAGAGGGGAUUUUCUUUCAGGACACGAUUAGAAACUUUUAAAUUCCCAGCGUCAGACACAUAAGAAAUUUAAAUCUUUGGACUCCUUUAUUUUUAAUUUGUCCCAGUCAAAAGAAUUUAGAUUUCCUAUGGAUGUUUUGAAGUCACUGCUUUCCUUCACUAGUUUGUCCAGAGAUGGUAAGACCAACCAGCCAGCAUCAUUAUGUUUCCCACUCUGCCAAAAAUGGAGUUGCUAAAAGUGGUAAUCAAAUCCUACUCAAAUCAGGAUAAUCCAAUGGAACUUCACUGCAUAUUACUUUAAACAGUUUACAUCAAGGACUGUCAGUGUUCCCCAUAGAAUUAGGAGACCAUGGCGUCUUUAGGUGUCAUCAAAUUAGAGCACCAACUCCAGGAACCCCUAAAGCCAUUAAAGAAUUUCAUCUUUACAAUUCUGUUUUUCUAGUGCCACUCCCAGUACCAAAAUUUGUAUCAGUCAGUGUUUACUAGUGAAACAGAUAUAACACAAGAUAUACAAAUAUUUAAGAAUUUGCAAGAUCGGCUUACAAUGACCACCCACAGAGUCGGAUGUGGAAGAGUGCAGGGGGUCUGUCUGCACACUGGAGACCGAAGGAUUCAGUCGAAGGUCUGGAGCUCACUGCAGUGUUCUGUGUGAGUCUGAAUCCGGAGGUCGAUGGGUCUGCAGUGGAAGGCUGAAGGCUCUGCACCAGAAGCUGAAGAAUCAGCACUGGAAGCCAGGAGAUGAUGUCCAAGGUGAAGGUGAAGACUAGAGCUCCUCUGAAGAAACAGAAGCAGAUCCAUCCUUUUUCAUUUGCCCUUUACACCAUCCAGGCAACAAGUCACCCAAGGUUGGGUCUUCCAACCUUAGGGUGUGGAAUUGCUAAGGCAAGUUGAGCUUCUUAUAUCACAGUGCCCCUUCCUGGUCUCUCUCCAUUGGUGUGAUAGAAUGAUGGUGAAUAGUUGGCUGUGCUGUGUUAACCCUGAUGAUGUGAGGAACCAUCAGUGCCUGCUCCCUGCAUUCCACAUCCAACUUCUCCUAAGGGCUAAGCAUUGGCAAUAAUAUAAGGUGGGGAGGAGAAGCUGCGUCUUUGGAGCCAUUGCAUCAUAAGUUCCUCUAUGAAGGAACUGUGUCCUCUGGUUAUCUCCACCAUUAUGCUACAGAACACUGCCAGGCAUUCAGCAGGUGUCUGAUUUUUCUCACAUGUUCUGGGGCCUUAGGAUACUUUGCCAUGGUCCUAGACAUCCCUGUGUGGUAGUCAAGCAGAUUUGUCUUUGUGUCUCUUUUGCCCUCUUUGUGUUUUUCUUCUUCCUCUGGAUCAUUUCUGAGUAGAUGAGCUGGGAUCAGUCUAAUCACAAGUUGAGUAGUGUUCUAGUUAUAUAUUAUUUAUACACGUUUCGAUAAAUUUCCAUUAUGGAUAACAUCCUCUAUGCAUUCAGUGAACUUUCUUAGUGACAGCUUUUUUCUUAUGCAACAUACCCUGGAACGUGGAGCACUGAACUUGCAGUUUUGUCAUGCAAUAAAAGGAGUCAGAAAAUUAAGAAAAAUAUGAAUGAGAGAUGCCCAAGACAGAGUAAAAUCCUUUGAUAACCAAGGUUCACUCAAAUGUUCCCAGCAGCCUUAGCCUAAAGGGAAAUAUGAUGUCUCUAAAGAAUUAAAGCUUUUCCGUGGUGCUAAAAUAUUUUGGAACAUUACACCGAGCCUGAUAUAUAGGACCAUUAAGUACAAUGAAUGUCUUCAUUGGACUGUGUAGAAAGCACAUCCAUCAUGAUAUGUAUUUCUCUAGAAACCAUGGGCGUUAGCUUUGGUCAGCUAGUGAGAGUUUCUGGUAGGUGAGAUCCUAUCAUGCCUCUAAACAAAGCCCAGUUCUUCUUAUGGCAGUUGCCAGGGCAACAGCAACAGCACCAGCACCAGAAGUGAAGGUGAGAUUUCUCUGGGCAAAGAAUGGAAGUCCCAAAAGCAGAGGGUUAAGUAACUGUAGGAAGUUUCCCAUCCUGGUGCAGAGGCAAAACCUGAGCUAAAUGAGGCUAACUCCUAGACUUAGGUGCUUAGCGGUUAGGACUUCCCUCGGCCUCCAACAUGCAGCUAUGCAAGUCCCAGGGUAUUCAUGCCUAGAGAGAGGGGGGAAAUGGCAGUGUACCACCCAAUCCAGCAGGUGGUCAUCUGGCAAAACAACUAAAGUUGGUCAACAUUUGGUGACUAUGAGUCAAUUUUCCACACAAGAAUAAUAAGCCUCUGCAUUAAACUCUUUCUGGACCAAUCUGUUCCCCUCUUUUUCCUCUAUUUGGAACACAUGCCCCCAGCAAACCAUUGUCCCCAGACUCCUCAGUAGUCACCACACGAGGAUUGUCACUGAGAUACAGAUCAUGUAUCUCGUGAAUCUGUCUUAACUGUUAUGUAUAGGCAAUUUAUAUUUAAUGGAACUGUUAAUAUGCUUGGAUUUAGGUCUACCAUUUUAUUAUGUUUUGUUUUUCCCUCGGUUUUUCUCCCUUACAUUCCUGCCUUGUUUUGGAUUAUUUGAAUAAUUUAUCUAUUCACUUUUUGGCUAUAUCUUGUGACUGGUCUAGAGAUUACACACCCAAUCUAUAUCUUGUGACUGGUCUAGAGAUUACACACCCAAUCUUUCACUUGAGUUAAUAUUUUACUUCAUGUAAGAUAUAGGAUGCGGGUACUUUAACAGAAUCAAGUCAACAUAUGUAUUACCUGUAUCCCUCCCCCCCCAAUAAGAUCUAAUGGGAAAAUAAUCAGUCUUGAAAACUGGAGAUCAAAAAUGCCAGUCCCAAUCAGCCUAUCCUUGCUUUACCUUCCAUCGCCAUACUCUUGCUCAGUGGCUGCUCUGUAAGGCAGGACUGAACUAAUAGAGUAUGCAUUCUGACUACUGUGGAAUUCAAUUUGAAUUAUUUAAAGAGGACUAGAAAAAUUCCCAAAUAUUUAGAAAUUAAUCCACACAACUAAUCAUUUUGCCAUGGUUUUAAUGAUGAUGCAUCUUUGGAAAUGUAAUAGCACUGUUAGUUAAUAGUUUGUUAAGCAACUACUGUAUGACAGGCAACAACGCACAGUGCACGCUCUCUCCUGCCAGUUAUUCAAUCUGCAAGCAAACAAUUACUCAACAACUGUCAUGUGCCUCUUUUCUGGCUCCAAAUAUAGUGUAGAACAAUAGACGUUUGCUUUGUGGGGCUUUCUAAGCUUCUUGGAGAUACAAGACAGGACACAUGUAAUAUGUAAAAAGUCACAGUCCCUAUGGGGUAAAGUAAAGCUGUAGGUGACAAAGCACUGGGGGUAGGACAGGGCAUGUUAGCUCAGAUAUAGCCAGGAGCAGCUUUUGGAGAAGGUAGCUAUUGAGCAGAGACCCUGAAGAGGGAAGGCAGCAACUGAGGAAAUAUAUUCCGGGCAGGCAUAUUGGGUCCCUGAGACAAGGCAGCGGUGGGUGUGGAGCAGCAGCACGGUGUCCAGAGUAGCUGGGGCAGGAGAUGGGUUGGGAAUGACAGCCAAGCAUCUUAAGGGCCGGGCCGCAAGAAAAUGUCCCAGUCCUCUGUUGUAGGGAGUACUUGGAUGGGGUCAAGUUUGGUGUUUGUAUUAAAGGGUUCUCAUUGCCUGGUCUGAAAUGAACUAGGGAUCCAGGGAAGCCCAAGAGGAAGCUCUUAUGGUCAUCCUGGUGAGGUCAAUGGUGGCCUACGCCUGGCCAGUGAUGGGGAGAAGUGAUCAGAUAUAGGCAGAACCCUCAUUUUGAAGGUGGAUUGGACACGGCGGGGUGAAAGAAGCAAUCUUAGUCUGCCUUCAUUCCUUAGCUUCUUCAUUUUCCAUUUAUUUACCCAACAAAGGGUUACUGAGCAGCUUCUCGGAGCCAGCUGAGCCAGGCCUUGAGAUAAGACUGCAAGCAGAAUCCAGAUGGCCUCCUUGUUCUUGCCCUCAGGAUAGAGAGGACAAUGGGGAAGAGCUCAGUAAGUCAAAUAAAAAAAUGCAACAUAAGGAAUUUCUUCUGGGAUGAAUGCUCUAAGGGAGAGUUGCUGAGAACUGGCAGAGACAAAGAAGGGGAGUAAUUGGGGAGGGAAAAGGAUGUUCUGGAAAGAAGAGGUGCUUGUGUUAGAGCAGUUAUCCUGCUGCAGAAGGCAGCUGGAGCAGAGGUGCUGAGGAGGUGCUGAGGAGGUCCAGUGCCUGUCACAGAGGACCUCAAUGGCUUCACCACAAACCACAGGAAGGGCUUCUGUCCCUGUCCCCUGAGAGGAAUGGGAUUCAUUGGAAUGUUUUAGACAGUGACGGGAACAGAUGCUUUGGUAGGAAAUGGUUUGCAAAGAGGUUGUCAGGACUGGUGUUGACAGGCACCCACUGCUGCACUUGUCCCUGGCCUCUCAGGUCAUUGCCUUCUCCCAUUUCUGACUGCCUGCCCUGACAUCUGUGUAACUUAACUUUCCACAAUGGAGAAGGGCCAAAGGACCUCUCUCUCUAUUUUGCUCUCUGUGUCAACUUGAGUAAGAGAAGCUCAACUAAAUUGCCUCAGCAAUUUCAUACCCUAGGGGGACUUGUUGCCUGGAUGGUAUAAAGGAGAAAUGACGAGGGAUGGAUUUGCUUCUGUUUCUUCAGAGGAGCUCUAGUCUUCAUCUUCACCUUGGAUGUUAUCUCCUGGCUUCCAGGUCAGACUCUUUAGGGUCUGGUGCAGAGCCUUCAGCCUUCUGGUGUAUAUUCUUCUGCCUUCCAUCGAAGACCAACUGGCUUCCUAAUACUGACUUCAAUGGGACACUGCAGUGAACUCCAGAUCUUUGACUGAAUCCUUCGGUCUCCAGUGUGUGGGGCCAUUGCUGUGGCUAUACUUGACCAUGUGGUUUAGGAGCCUUUGGAGCUGGCUUGUGGGAAGGGGAAGAGUUAGGAAAGGUUUGCAGAUGGCUGAAAACAGAGCUGGAAUGCCUGAGGCUGUACUUGAUGGGAGAUUCUGGCCAGAGCUCAGAAGACCAGAAUUCGGAUAGAAACAGGCUUAGGAGGUUUCUGCUGGGAAGAAGGCACUCCAGAUGAUGUGGGUUAUGCCUUGGGAGAAGGUUUGUCUGCAUUUUUCUGUUGUCCAGAGACUUUGCCUGAAACAGAUUUAGGGUGGCGGACUAACUAAUCUGGCAGAAGAAAUUUCACGGCAGUCUAAUGAGGCUGUGGCAUGGCUACUGUUGGGGGUUUUUAGCCCAAUUUACGUUGAGAAUCAAGAGCAAAGAGCCCAGCAGAAUGACUUAAAAUGUUAGCCCAGAAAGGAAGCUCCAGUAAAAUUUCAGCCUGCAAAGAUGAACAGAAGAGAAAUUAGUUGCUGAAAAAGAUUAGCAAGAAAAGUCAAGUAUUUCAGAAGAUGACAGAAAAGUUGGCCUAAGGGCAGCAUAAGAAGCAGGAGGACUCCACCCUUUGCAGCAUCAAAGUUGCAAAAGUGAGACUCUUUUGAGAAGAGAGACCCAGAGCUCAUGUUCCAGAAUGGCAGCAGUCUAGGAAAAUUGCUCCUCGGGAUUUGGCUCAUAGGUACUGGACCCCUAAGCCUGGCUACUGCUCCAGCUGGACCUUGGCUCAUCCACAUGGUGCUGGUUUUAGAGGCAUGCAGAAUGCAAGAGUUGUGGGGUCAGCAAGGCUUCCACCCAGAUUUCAGGAAAAGGCCUGGGAGGCCAAGCAGUGUGCCUCUGAGGGUGCAGUGUGUGAAGCCAUAGGUGCAGGAAACCAGGAAUGUGGAUCAUCUAAGGAAAGCUGCACGGAGUGAGCAAAGCCAGCCAAAGAAAGAAGCCAGAGAGCAAUAACAAGCAGCAGUGCCACAGGGGCAGACGCACCCAAGCCCUUUGGAGUUCACAACUUGCCAGACUGCCUCGGACGCUGGAAGUGAACUGUGGGAUUUAAUGUUUGCCCUGCUGGAUUUUGGUCUUGCUUUGUUCCCAUUCCUUGCUAUCCCCCUUUGUAACUUUUGGAAUGGAAAUGUCUAUCUUGUGCCCUUGAAUGUUGGACACGUUUAACUUUCUUUUCACUUGUACCAGGGCUUGCAGUUAAGAGUUUGCCUGAAAUCUCAGAGGAGACUUUGGACUUGAACUUUUCAGCAAUGCUGAAGUUGUUAGGACUUUGGCAACUCUUGGAGAUGGACUAAAUGCCUUUUGCAUAAAGGGAUAUGCAUGAGUCCUCGGGGGUCCAGGGCUGGAAUGUUAUGGCUUGCGUUUAGAUAUCACCCCAAAGCUUCAUACGGUCAUAGGUGGGGCUUUUCAGAGGUGGCUGGAUCUAGACUGUGUGAUGCUGGGAUUGAUUCAUGGUGCAAAGCUAGGCUCAAGAGCACUAGGAUUAAGGGUGUGAGUGCUACCGCCCUAAGUAGCCUGGAUAAGAUAUAAGGGAUAGAAAGAGCUGUGGUCAUCCCUGUUGCUGUUACCUUCUACCUGCCAUGAACUGUUUCUUCUCUGUGAUGCUUGUCUGUCAUGCCACCCUGCCUUGGAGCCAGCCGAUUAUAGACUGAAACCUCUACAUACUGUGAGUGAAAUAAAUCUUUCCUCCUUUAACUUUGGGUGUUGGGUAUUUUGUCUCAGCAAUGAGAAAAGUAACUAAGACACUUAGGCUUCUCAUAUAAGAGAAAUGAUGCCAUAUUUAAGGCUUAUGUGUUUGAUUGACUGUAUUUUACCAAAUAUUAUAGUCUUAUGGUACACAUCCAUUUUCCUACAAAUGACUCAAGUUUAUCCUUUAUGGCAGAGUAGUACAGUGGACCCUCAAAAGUUACAACCAGCCUGACAUACAAAAAACUUGGGUUAAUUAGGUUAAUGGAAGAUUCAUCUGCCUGUUAUCUAUAGCGUAUACCCAGGUAAAAAUCCAGAUCUCAGCUAUAUUGACUUACAACCAGCCCUUGGGAACCAAUUGAGUUCAUAAAUUAAUAAUCCACUCUACUUCAUUGUGUAUCAAUACAUUUUCCUUACCCAUUCAUCUGUUGAUGAACAUAUAGGCUGCUUCCAAGAUUUAGCUACUGUGAGCUAUGGUGCUGUAAUCAUGGGUGUGUAUAUAUCACUGUAGUAUGAUGACUCUCUCUGGAAGAUGCUUAGAAGGGAAAUAACUGAGUGGAAUGGAAUUUCAAGUUUCAGUUUUUUGAGGAAUCUCCAUGCUGACUUCCAUUAGUGGUUGUACCAGUUUACAUUCUCACCAACAGUGUAGGAAGAAUUCCUUUACCACCACCCCCCAUCAGCAUUUGUUAUUGAUUUAUUGAUGAUGGCCAUUCUUUCUGGGGCAAGAUGGAAUAUCAAUAUUAUUUUAAUUUGUAUUCCCUCUAAUGGCCAGAUACGUUGAACUCUUUCGGCUAUUUUUACUCCUUCUAAGAGGUUCUAUUCGGUUCAUUUUUUUGGUUUGUUUUUGGUUUUUUGGUACCAGGGAUCUAACUCGGGACCUUGUGCUUGCGAGGCAGGCAGUGGAACCACUGAGAUAAAUCCCUGGCUCCAGUUUCUCAUUUUGUCACAGCCUUAUACUUAAGUCAUAUCUCUGAGUGUCAUCUCUUCUCCUGGCCUGUUUCCAGUUCCUGGGGUUCCCCAUCCACCCUGGGGAACACACACAGAGCUCCAGCCACACUGCAGGCCCUUCACUGUCCUAUCCAGCUGCUCCUGUGCCAUCUCCUCCAGGAAGGGCAAUCCCCAAGCAUGUGCUGUUCUUGUGUCCUUCGCAGAAGCAGCAGCACAGAAUUUGGCACAUGGUACAGGUCCUGCCCUAGGCCAUGGGAACUUGAGGAGCUUCACCAAUGGUAGGAAUUAUUUCUAGGGAAAACAGGUGUCACAAGAGCAUAGGAUCUGGUGACAGGUGAGUGGCGUCCCCUGGCAGGCUGGCUCCUCCAUUUCAUUCUUGCAAUGUGGGUCACCUCUUCUGAUGUCCUUGCUGGGAGCUACACAAAGUCAGUUGUGAAAGUGAUGGUUUCCUUCCUGUUCUUUGGAGCAUGUCUCUCACCAUCAGGGCCAAAGGUGGGUGGGUAAGGCCUCUUCUGCACUGUUUUUGGAUUCUCUUAAGACCUGAGAAAGGGAGAGGAAAAGUUAAAAUAGGGGCUAAAUGGAAAAAUGAGGAUCUCAAACAGGAAACUUGAUGUGCUGUGGGGUUUCAUUUCUCAUGUGCAAAGCACAUUUUCUCCAACCUAUCAUUUCUGAAAUAAAUGAGCCAUGAUCAUUUAAUGCGAAUGCAUCCCAGACCUGAGUUGGGCCCUUGUAAUUUGGAAUCAAAAAUGACUGACGGGUUGACGGAAAAGUUCUGCCAAUAAAUUACAUACAUCCUGUUAGUUCAGUCUCAUACCUAAAAAUAUCUUGAAUCUAAAGAGAAGCUGGCAGAGGCUAUAGAUUGACAGAAAAAAAAAUUCAACCAUAAAACCUAAGCAAAAUUAUAUCCACAUUCCCCAAGCUGUAGUUAAAAUUAAUUUGUUUUGAGACCAAAGUCAAAUAUGCCAGUACAUCGUGUAAUUCAUUGAAUUUG